CACAGAGUCUAUGGUGAAGCCUACCACUCAUGACCCAUCUGUGGCUCAGCAUUCAUAUUCACUUGCUCUCAGCAUUUUUGACCAGUUGUGAAUCUGCAUUAACCACUACCUAUGGACAAAAAAAGGGGGCUUCUUUGACCAAGGCUACUGGACAAAUCUGCAUUGACUGAGGAGUCACAGAUGCUACUGCAAGCUGUGGAAACGAAGGAAAAACUGGAUAUCUUACAUUGUCCCUGGGUCAAAGAGGAAAGCGAGAGGAGAGGUGUCCGUCUGGUAUGGAACAGCAAGAACUGAUCUUGAAACAAUGGCUUUUCCUUCGCCAUAUUUCUCCUGUGUACCCUGUCCCAAGUUGCACACCUGGUACUGGUAGCUGAUUCCAUUGUUGUUCUUUCAGUGUCCUGCCCCCAUCUGUCUUUAUACUUCCCCUCACCACUUUGCAAUAUUUAGAUAACAAAUAUAUUCAAAAAACUCUGAGCAUGUUUGAAAACA